AGGAGCGUAGCUCAACUGGUAGAGCACCGGUCUCCAAAACCGGGGGUUACGGGUUCGAUCCCUGUCGCUCCUGCCA
rnacentral:tRNA from 1 species